rnacentral:rRNA from 1 species
UACGUAGGGUGCGAGCGUUGUCCGGAAUUACUGGGCGUAAAGAGCUCGUAGGCGGUUUGUCGCGUCGUCUGUGAAAUUCUGCAACUCAAUUGUAGGCGUGCAGGCGAUACGGGCAGACUUGAGUACUACAGGGGGAGACUGGAAUUCCUGGUGUAGCGGUGAAAAUGCGCAGAUAUCAGGAGGAACACCGGUGGCGAAGGCGGGUCUCUGGGUAGUAACUGACGCUGAGGAGCGAAAGCGUGGGUAGCAAACAGG